GCAGCUGUAAUCACCGUUGGCCUCCUCCUGCUGUACAUCCCACUGUGCUACGAGAACUUCCAUUUUCAUGUGACUCACGUGUACGCUCGCCUGGGGUACCCCAACGCCCAACACAUCGUGGGACAGAGGUAUUUGCAAGGAGCUGGAGUGGAAAAAAAUGAGGACAUGGCCAUGCACUGGUUCAGGCAGGCUGCGGGGCAGGGCCAUCCCCACUCCUCCUUCAACCUGGCCGUAUGGGCACUCAGAAACAUGACGAGGACAGUGGCCCUGGAAGAAGGGGAAGUGGAGAAACUCCUCAGUGUGGCAGCAGCCCACGGGCUCCGAGAAGCUCAGCAACUUUUGGAAAACAUCCUCAAGAGCAGAAGCCUUCCCUGAAUGACCACUGCAACACCGAUGCUUGUCCGACCUUGCUGCCUUCUGCACUUAGCAACCCCGCUUUCUCCUUGCUGAGUGUCUAGUCCUUAGGCAUUUGAAUCAUUCGUCUGACAUUACAGUUGCUUCGCACUGGAUCUCCAUGGUCAGAUCUGUGGUAGCGAUGCGUUGCUGCUCCUUCUCCUUUUGCUUCCUGCCUCACCACUUCUGAACAGCGUUGGGAAGGUGGGGUGGAGGAGACAAAGAGCCUGCAGGGUUACGCUGACGAUGGGCGUAUGAAUGUUGUCGGAAAAGCACAGCUAGUAUUGCACCAACUGAUCUGCUAAUACGAAGUUAGAUCCAAAUAUUUAUCUGGGUCGAUGCGGUGUUGCUUGCGCAUUUGUGCUGUGUGUAUUUCAUGCUCUGCUUAUGCAUUGCAAUAAAUGAUCACGACUGAGGCUUUAUCACUGUAAAUCAGCAUGACAUGCAUGCAUGAUGUCAUUUCUAAUAGAAAUGACAGUGAUUUAAUAGAAAAAUAUAAAUAAUGCCCACACUUAAUAGCUAUCAUUCCUUAUCAACAUUGCCAUUGCCAUUCCAGUUUCGGGGAAAAGUAAUUCAAUUUAAUGGAAACUGCCUUCAUUUUCAGGGUGGUCUCGGUUUAAAACCACAGUGGGAGCAAUUGCAUUUCACGGGAAGUGCACUCACUAAACAAAGAUCUGCAGCGUUUUGCUAGCAAUAAAAUUGUUUCCCAGGGCUGCCUGUGUUGGUGUGCAAUCUUUCCUUUUUUCCUACCGUGA